AGAAUCAACGCUGGCGGCGUGCCUAACACAUGCAAGUCGCACGAGAAAGGGGCUUCGGCUCUGAGUAAAGUGGCGCACGGGUGAGUAACACGUGAAUUAUCUACCUCCGAGUGGGGAAUAACUGAGAGAAAUCUUAGCUAAUACCGCAUAACACUUACGAGUCAAAGCAGCAAUGCGCUUGGAGAGGAGUUCGCGGCCGAUUAGUUAGUUGGCGGGGUAAUGGCCCACCAAGACGAUGAUCGGUA
rnacentral:rRNA from 1 species